rnacentral:tRNA from 1 species
GGCCGCGUAGUGUAGUGGUUAGCACGCAGGAUUUUGAUUCGAACAAAAUUUCCUGAGACCUGAGUUCAAUCCUCGGCGGGGCCU